UAUCGUCAUCACUAUCCUGCAGACGUCACGAAUGUGGCGGAAGGGAAAGUGCCCUGGUGCUGGUCGUGUUUUCGGUCUUGGCGUUGUGCUUUGCUAUACCUGUGCUGCACAAUCGUUCGCCUUUCUUACGUGACUGCAUAUGACGUUGUAAAGUAUUAAAAAAAAGGAUUAUGGGUGUCCAGGAAGAACCGGACUGUUGGCUACGUCAUACCAUCAUAGAAAUCGUCGCUCGACACUAGCUGUGUUUGCAUGCACACAUAGGUCGACUUGUACCGGUUUACACAUGCAGGCGACUGGAGGCAUCGUACACUUCGGGCGACAUACAAGCCACCUAUCCGAUGGUAGCGCCACUUGCUUAAGCCCGGCAAGGAGCACUUGACGAUGAAACGUUGUCGAACCGUGAAAUGUGUGCUUUCAUCAUAUGCCACUAGUGUAAAUAUUUUCGAUAUUCGAUUACUCCAAGUAAACGAAUUUUGCCCUA